rnacentral:rRNA from 1 species
AGAUUGAACGCUGGCGGCAUGCCUUACACAUGCAAGUCGAGCGGCAGCGCGGGGCAACCCUGGCGGCGAGCGGCGAACGGGUGAGUAAUGCAUCGGAACGUGCCUUUUGUGGGGGAUAACCAGCCGAAAGACUGGCUAAUACCGCAUGAGCUCGAGAGAGGAAAGCAGGGGAUCCGCAAGGACCUUGACGCGAGAGGAGCGGCCGAUGCCCGAUUAGCUAGUUGUGGGUAACGGCUACCAAGGCGACGAUCGGUAGCUGGGUCUGAGAGGACGACCAGCCACACUGGGACUGAGACACGGCCCUAGACCUCCUACGGGAGGCAGGCAGGUGGGAAUUUUGGGACAAGUGGGGGCAACCGUGACUCCGAGCCAUGCGCUGUGUGAGAAGGCGUU